GUCAUUCAGGAUGGCCGAGAACUCUAAGAGGCAGCGGAAUCAAGGUAAUCCUUUCACUGCUGCAGACGAAUGUGGGCGUGGGUUCGAAUCCCACUUCUGACA